UACGGAGGGGGCUAGCGUUAUUCGGAAUUACUGGGCGUAAAGCGCACGUAGGCGGCUAUUCAAGUCAGAGGUGAAAGCCUGGAGCUCAACUCCAGAACUGCCUUUGAAACUGGAUAGCUUGAAUCAUGGAGAGGUCAGUGGAAUUCCGAGUGUAGAGGUGAAAUUCGUAGAUAUUCGGAAGAACACCAGUGGCGAAGGCGACUGACUGGACAUGUAUUGACGCUCAUGCACGAAAGCGUGGGGAGCAAACAGG
rnacentral:rRNA from 1 species